rnacentral:rRNA from 1 species
UGAGGAAUAUUGGUCAAUGGGCGGGAGCCUGAACCAGCCAAGUAGCGUGAAGGACGACGGCCCUACGGGUUGUAAACUUCUUUUAUAAGGGAAUAAAGUUCGCCACGUGUGGUGUUUUGUAUGUACCUUAUGAAUAAGCAUCGGCUAAUUCCGUGCCAGCAGCCGCGGUAAUACGGAAGAUGCGAGCGUUAUCCGGAUUUAUUGGGUUUAAAGGGAGCGUAGGCGGGCUUUUAAGUCAGCGGUCAAAUGUCACGGCUCAACCGUGGCCAGCCGUUGAAACUGCAAGCCUUGAGUCUGCACAGGGCACAUGGAAUUCGUGGUGUAGCGGUGAAAUGCUUAGAUAUCACGAAGAACUCCGAUCGCGAAGGCAUUGUGCCGGGGCAUAACUGACGCUGAGGCUCGAAAGUGCGGGUAUCAAACAGGAUUAGAUACCCUGGUAGUCCGCACGGUAAACGAUGAAUGCUCGCUAUGGGCGAUAUAUUGUCCGUGGCCAAGCGAAAGCGUUAAGCAUUCCACCUGGGGAGUACGCCGGCAACGGUGAAACUCAAAGGAAUUGACGGGGGCCCGCACAAGCGGAGGAACAUGUGGUUUAAUUCGAUGAUACGCGAGGAACCUUACCCGGGCUUGAAUUGCAGGUGCAUGAGUCAGAGACGGCUCUUUCCUUCGGGACUCCUGUGAAGGUGCUGCAUGGUUGUCGUCAGCUCGUGCCGUGAGGUGUCGGCUUAAGUGCCAUAACGAGCGCAACCCUUCUCCCCAGUUGCCAUCGGGUAAUGCCGGGCCCUCUGGGGACACUGCCAUCGUAAGAUGCGAGGAAGGUGGGGAUGACGUCAAAUCAGCACGGCCCUUACGUCCGGGGCCACACACGUGUUACAAUGGGGGGUACAGAGGGCCGCUGUCCGGUGACGGUCGGCCAAUCCCUAAAACCCCUCUCAGUUCGGACUGGAGUCUGCAACCCGACUCCACGAAGCUGGAUUCGCUAGUAAUCGCGCAUCAGCCAUGGCGCGGUGAAUACGUUCCC